AUAGCGUAUAUUAAAGUUGCUGCGGUUAAAAAGCUCGUAGUUGGAUCUGGGUCGUCGAUGGACGGUGCGCCGUAAGGCGCUACUGUUUGUUCGGCACCACAGCCCGGCCAUGUCUUGCAUGCUCUUCACUGAGUGUGCUUGGCGACCGGAACGUUUACUUUGAAAAAAUUAGAGUGCUCAAAGCAGGCGUUAAGCCUAUAUAAUGGUGCAUGGAAUGAUAGAAUAAGACUUUUGCCUUGUUCUGUUGGCCUUAGAGGCAGAAGUAAUGAUAAAUAGGGACAGACGGGGGCAUUCGUAUUGCGGCGUUAGAGGUGAAAUUCUUGGAUCGUCGCAAGACGCACUACUG
rnacentral:rRNA from 1 species